CCAUCUUUUAAUUCAGUCUGUGAUGACGCCUGAACGACAUGUCCCUCCGGGAAUUUAUUAGUGUUUCCUCAAACAAACAAACAAACAGGUUUACAUUUCAUCUGCUCUUUGGGGGAACGUCUCAAAUGGCACCCUAUCCCCUAUAUUCCUAUUCCCUAUGUAGUGCCCUACUUUAGACAAGAGCCCUAUUCCCUAUGUAGUGCACUACUUUCGACCAGGGCCCUAUUCCCUAUACAGUACACUACUUUAGACCAGAGUGUCAAUGGCUUUGAAGAAGUAGUGCACUACUUUAGACCAGAGUGUCAAUGGCUUUGAUCAGAAGUAGGGCACUACUUUAGACCAGAGUGUCAAUAAGACGUAGUGCACUACUUUAGACCAGAGUGUCAAUAAGACGUAGGGCACUACUUUAGACCAGAGUGUCAAUAAGAGGUAGGGCACUACUUUAGACCAGAGUGUCAAUAAGACGUAGUGCACUACUUUAGACCAGUGUCAAUAGGAAGUAGUGCACUACACAGGGAACAGGGCACCAUUUGAGACGCUCAAACCAAAACAUGAUUACACGGUGUUAAGAAAUGUAGAAAAAAACCAACACAGAAAUCCUUUUGGCAUGAGGAUAAAAGCCUUUUUAAGCCAGAGAGGAGUGUAAAGUAAGGCAGUAACUGUCCUUCAUCAAAUUAUAUUAUUACAUAAACAACAUUUUGUUAAUCUAUUGAAUCCUUUUUGGUUAGUUUGUUGUCGUUUUUCACACAGGGGCUGUUGUUGUAUAAAUAUGACCAGUAUGUGCACUUUCAAACAUUCACGUUUAUAUAAAAAAUAAACAUAAACAGUUUCACUUAGACAACAGCCACAGAAGACAUCACCAGGGAAACUGGGCUACAGUGAGAGAUGGCAGCCAUUUUGGAUCUGUUUUAAACAAGGGUCCCUCAUGUCCUUCAGGGGGUACCUAGGUUUAUGCCUGAUUGAAAAAGAGCUUAAAUUAUUUUUUACUUCAGUGAUCCUUUU
ensembl:lncRNA